GACGAACGCUGGCGGCGUGCUUAACACAUGCAAGUCGAACGGGCUGCCUGGUUUUCGGAUCGGGUGGUGAGUGGCGAACGGGUGAGUAACACGUGAGUAACCUGCCCCUCUCUUUGGGAUAACGUCGGGAAAUCGGCGCUAAUACCGGGUAUUCUGGCUUCCUCGCAUGGGGUUGUUGGGAAAGGUUUUUUCUGGUGGGGGAUGGGCUCGCGGCCUAUCAGCUUGUUGGUGGGGUGAUGGCCUACCAAGGCGGUGACGGGUAGCCGGCCUGAGAGGGUGUCCGGCCACACUGGGACUGAGACACGGCCCAGACUCCUACGGGAGGCAGCAGUGGGGAAUAGUGCACAAUGGGCGGAAGCCUGAUGCAGCGACGCCGCGUGGGGGAUGACGGCCUUCGGGUUGUAAACCGCGUUCAGUGCAGAACAAGGCUCUUUGUGGGUUGAGGGUAUGCGCAGAAGAAGCGCCGGCUAACUACGUG
rnacentral:rRNA from 1 species